AUGGCUCUUUUGCAGUCGUGGAACGUACUUUGUUGGAAUAUUCGUGGUCUUAAUGCGGACAAAAAGCGCUUAGCCUUAUCUAAUGCGAUCCAGUCUAGUGGAUGUGCGAUUAUCUGUCUUCAAGAGACUAAAAUGCAGACGUUUGAUGCUAGCACUCUCAAGUUGAUUUGUCCGAAACGCUUUGAUAAAUUUGCGUAUAUCCCGUUUGUCGGAGCGUCGGGGGGAAUUGUUACGAUCUGGAAUAGUGCUCUCUUCUCUGGUACGAUCGCCUUUGAGGAACAAUUUGCGUUAGGCGUCACCUUCACUUCCACUCAAAAUGCGCAUACUUGGACGUUGGUUAACAUCUACGGCCCGUGUCAAGGGGAGCAGCGUAAUACUUACACUAAAUGGUUGUUUGACUUGACAAUCCCGCCGACUGAAGAUUGGCUACUGCUUGGAGAUUUCAAUUUCAUUCGAUCGCCUGACAAUCGAAACCUACCAGGGGGAAACGCCCAGGAUAUGUUUACUUUCAACAACUUCAUCCGUGAGCAAGACUUAACUGAACUUCCUAUUAAAGGUAGGGCUUACACCUGGUCGAACAUGCAGAUCAACCCCCUGCUGGAACAACUAGACUGGUUCUUUACCUCGCUCAACUGGACGACAUCCUUCCCCAAUACCAUGGUAAACCCUUUGGGCCGCCCUGUAUCUGAUCACAUUCCCUGCUCCGUGGUCAUUCAAUCCACAAUCCCCCGGAGCAAGAUCUUCCGGUUUGAAACCUACUGGAUUGCGCACCCUGGCUUCAUGCAGACUGUGGAGGAUGCUUGGAAUAAACCCAUAAAAUUUGGCAAAGACAAAAAUGCAGCUUCGAUCCUUUGUCAAAAGCUGAAAGCUGUCAGAUACGCCCUAUCCCACUGGAACAAAAAGAUUUCCCGCCUAAAAAUUGCCAUUGAGAACUCAAAUAAGGCCCUUCUUGAGCUGGAUAGUCUUGAAGAAUGA
rnacentral:rRNA from 1 species